rnacentral:rRNA from 1 species
AAAAUGCAGUCGAACGUGAAAGCACUUCGGUGUGAGUAGAGUGGCGGACGGGUGAGUACGCGUGGGAAUCUACCCAGUAGUGGGGGACAACUACCGGAAACGGUAGCUAAUACCGCAUACGCCCUAUGGGGGAAAGGCUUCGGCCGCUAUUGGAUGAGCCCGCGUCAGAUUAGCUAGUUGGUAGGGUAAAGGCCUACCAAGGCAACGAUCUGUAGCUGGUCUGAGAGGACGAACAGCCACACUGGGACUGAGACACGGCCCAGACUCCUACGGGAGGCAGCAGUGGGGAAUAUUGGACAAUGGGCGAAAGCCUGAUCCAGCAAUGCCGCGUGUGUGAAGAAGGCCUGCGGGUUGUAAGCACUUUCAGUUGGGAAGAUGAUGACGUACCAACAGAAGAAGCACCGGCUAAUCCGUGCCAGCAGCCGCGGUAUCC